rnacentral:rRNA from 1 species
GCCAGAGCUUACAAGCUAACCAGGUUUGAAACUAUGUCAGUACUUGCAUGGGAUACCACCUAGGAAUACCUAAGACCUCUGGGG